AAAGAGUUAAAUUUGUUUUAUAAGACUUUAUGUCUGGUGAAGUCAAAACAUGCUUUUAAGUUAACAUUAUUUUUGAAAACCUUCACACUUUAAUGCAUUGCCCUGUGUUACGACUUGGCUCGGCCAGGGGAAAGGGAAGUAACAUUAAAGAAACAUAGAUGUUAAGGUUUAACAAUUUAGAGGUUUAUUGUUUGGUUUUGACAAAAAUAAAAAGGUAAAAAUUAACAAUAAUCAAAAUGUAUUAAAUAAAACAAAAUCCACAAAACAAUCAGAGUUGUAAAGCAAAGAUCUUAACCAAAAAAAAGACUUUCAGUACAGGUUAAACAAAAACAAAUCUCUUAACAGAGAUACAAAGGUCCCCACAGGGACAGUCAGUUACACAAGCUAUCAAAGCUAUCAGAGUUAACCAAGCAAGUUUACAGCAGUCAACCAAACACCCAACAAAGUGGCAAGCUGUCCGAACAAAGAAUCAGCCGCGCCUUCCUCCAGGAAGUCUGGGAUUUUAAAAGGGAGGCCUCUUCAGGGAUUGGUGGAGCUGGCAUUUGGUGAGCCAAUCGUUGUAGGCCUCAGGAAGACAGGGCUGCAUCCACCUCCAAGUGGAGCCAACCUGACCAGAAGCCGCAGAUAUACAGAAAA